GUUCUCAGGGCGGGGUGCAAUUCCCCACCGGCGGUAACGCCCGAUCAGUCGGGACGAGCCCGCGAGCGCUCUCUCGUCCUCUGCGGCGGGGGAGGUCAGCAGACCCGGUUGGAUCCCGGGGCCGACGGUCAUAGUCCGGAUGAGAGAGAACG
rnacentral:ncRNA from 1 species